UAUAUCCAUCUGUUUUAGGCCCAAAAAGUGAAAACAAAAGGAAAAUAGUCUCUUUUGCUAACGUUCUUUACUUCUUCUUUUCCGCCUUCCCGACUCAGCGCAUAGUGCACCUGGCUUGCUUACAGACAGGAACACACUGCCCUAUACUCGCAGACUCGACGGAAGACUUCUCACGGCACCCAACUCAAGCUUUUUAACCGCAACUAUUCUCACGCGCAAUUUCCGCGUGCAAACAGCUUACAAUCUCCUUUUCUUCUUCCCUUGUCUUGCUCUCUCGGUUAUAUUUUUCGGUUACGGUUCUCUGUCAGUUUCCUCUGCAGUUAUCUUUGUAAAUUUCCAUGGAAUUUAAGUUUCGAGCUGUGGAUGGAAGACCGCGGUUUACGUACGAAUCCUCUUCCACUACCGCUGGAUACUUCUCUGAACAAGAAUUUCGAGCCGCCUAUACAAAUAUCCUAAACCCGGAGCUAAUGCGAAACGAAAUGCUCCAGCGCGAGAUUAAGAAGGAGCGCAUAAGAGAAGAGAUAAUCACUGGUGAAAUUGUGCGGCGUCGAAUGCUUGAAGCUGAAGUUAGGAGAGAGCUUAUGAUGGAGAGAGAAAUGGCAAUGCGAGCAGGAAUAGAAGGAGGCCUCUCAUUUGAGGAAAGACUGACCAUGGGAAUUCGCCCUAGAGUUUCGUGCUCUUUGAACGACCAGUUUUACAAUCGGCGACUUGAAAUGCGUCCGCCAUUUCCUGCUCGUGGCGUUUUCGAUCAGUGGCUGCAGCCACCCCGGUUAUCAGAAGCUUUGGUUGCGCCUGAUGUUAAGCCUGCUUCGGAAUAUAAUCAGUCUAGAUUAAUAGUACUGGCGAAGCCUGAUCCAAAUCUCUGUCGGGCAAAGCGAAAGGCUGCAACAAUACCUGCAGGAGAUGCUGGGGAGCUCUGUUUGGCUGGUUUAAAGAAGAAACCCAAGGAGGAGUGGAGUUGUGCCCUAUGUCAGGUUAGUGCUACAAGUGAAAAUGGUUUGAAUGAACAUCUUCGAGGGAAGAAGCACAAGGCCAAAGAAGCAAGAUUGAGAGCAACUAAGAUGGCGAAAAACCUCAGUGCCUUACAAUUGCCAAAGAAAACUGCAAAGCCAGCCGAGCUUACUAUUGGUGUUUCAUGCACAGAACUAGAGGCAAAAGUUGAGGAAUCCCUUCAAGUUAUUAAGAGUAAUUACACAGAAAAGAAAAUAGGGAAUGAAAAAGAUUCAGGGAAGAAAAAUGAAAAGCAGUUGAAGCAGAAAAAUAAGGGCGCAACAAGUGUGAAGAAAGAUGUGGCAGCAAAAUUGCAGAGAGAGAAGAGGACAGAAGAAUUUAGAAAGAAGAAGAAAUUUAAGUUCUGGUGCGAAGAAUGUCAUGUUGGUGCUUACUCUACUAUGGUGAUGGAGGCUCAUAAAAUGGGGAAGAAGCAUGCAGAUCGUUUGCGGAAACUUGAUCAAAAUGGGAAAACUGUCCUGGGCAAUGCCAGCAUGGAAUCAUCUAAAGCUGAUCGUAAGGCAAAGAAUGACAUAAUUGUGGCCGAUAAAGCAAAUGAGAAUUUGACUGACAAUUCCAUAAAAAAGGAAUCAAAAAACAAAAACUGUUGCAGAUAAUGAAAAGAUAACAGAAAAUGCAGUUAUAAUUGCAGAUGGAUGAGUGGCAAACUAAUAAGCAAAAAUUUUCUCGGUGCCUUUCGGAAGGUUGGAUUGGAAGUUGAAAACUCUUCUUACAGGGUCUUUAAACAUGGACUUAUUUUCACAACAGAUAUCAGCAUUGAACAAUUGAUCUACACCUUUGGAAUUGGCAUCGAGUCAAAGAUGCAAAGAUCCUGGAGAAUGAGGGUGAAUUUAUGCAUUUGGAGAUGAAAAACUCCGUUGAUUGGAACGUAAGGUGUUAGAUAAUUUUAAGGAUUGUGGAAUGAGGAAUACAAAGUGAAUGUUCUAGAAGAGAAAGACACCUCACACUAGCCAAUUUGAGUGCCAAGAUGCCGCUUCAUUACCAAAGGCACCAAGUACACAACAACUUCUGUAAGUUCCUCGUUUGAAAAUUUGCAGAAGACCCUACAUUAUCACUACAAAAUCUAUUCUACGCAUAUUUUAUCUCACUUUAUUUUCAUCGUAAUUUUAUUUUAUUGCCUUCAAUUGUCUGUAUCUACUUUCAUUAUUUCUUCCAAAUCUAGCUUAGUAUUUUUUUUUUUUUUAACAUAGUUCUAGCGUUUUCUUUUAUAUUUGUAUUCCUUUCAUGUUAAUCUUCAUAUCCAUAACUACUGGUGUUGAAUUUUCUGGUCAGUGUUCUUCUGUUAAAAUAUCAGCUCCACUUAUUGGAACA